AGCAGCCGCGGUAAUUCCAGCUCCAAUAGCGUAUAUUAAAGUUGCUGCAGUUAAAAAGCUCGUAGUUGAAUUUCGGGACUAAUAUGUCGGUCGUGCCUCGGUACGUACUGGCAUUGUUGGUUUCUACCUUCUGACGAACCAUGAUGUCAUUUAUUUGGUGUCGUGGGGAAUCAGGACUGUUACUUUGAAAAAAUUAGAGUGUUUAAAGCAGGCUCACGCUUGAAUACAUUAGCAUGGAAUAAUGAAAUAGGACGUUUGAUUCUAUUUUGUUGGUUUCUAGGAUCGACGUAAUGAUUAAUAGGGAUAGUUGGGGGCAUUAGUAUUCAAUUGUCAGAGGUGAAAUUCUUGGAUUUAUUGAAGACUAACUACUGCGAAAGCA
rnacentral:rRNA from 1 species